UACGUAGGGGGCAAGCGUUAUCCGGAUUUACUGGGCGUAAAGCGCGCGCAGGCGGCACUUCAAGUAAGGUGUGAAAUCUCCCUGCUCAACGGGGAGGGUGCACUUUAGACUGAGGAGCUAGAGGACGGUAGAGGGGGGUGGAAUUGCUGGUGUAGCGGUGAAAUGCGUAGAGAUCAGCAGGAACACCCGUGGCGAAGGCGGCCCCCUGGGCCGUACCUGACGCUGAGGCGCGAAGGCUAGGGGAGCGAACGGG
rnacentral:rRNA from 1 species